rnacentral:lncRNA from 1 species
AAGAAGCAGCCCACAUACAGGUAAACAUGGAGAGAUUCAGUCCUGCAGCACAGUGAGCCACUACAAAAAAAUAGGAGGUGAUAGAAGAUUUUGACAUUCCAAAGGGUCUGAAGAAAAUGUGGAUCUGGCCAUGAUUUUGGAACAGAGAUUCAAACUAAUGAUGCAGUAUGUUUCAUCUGAUAAUGUGUGCUUACUACAUUUUCCGAGACCAAGACUACAUCCUAGCUCUCCAGUACCUAAAUGAAAUAUAUUAAGUGCCUGCCUCUAAAGAAGAAUUCAAUGAAGGGAAAUGAAAAGGCAGACUUGGGAGGUAUAUAUUAGUUGCUUACACAUGACAACUUUUAUGAAUUAGAAUGAACUUCUGAGCUGAUGAAGCUGAGUCCUCACGGGUGAUGGUAGUGUAUUCCAGAGGCAAGCAUGCCUAACACAGUGAACAUUUUUAUUCAAUAAACAGUGAGAUUAGUAGCUAUUACUACAUGGCAAAGUGCUAUGGGCAUCAAAUGUGGGAAGAAGCAAGUUCAGAGAACAGCAAGAAGAUUACAAU